UUUAUCACUUUCCACCUCAAAUCAAGUAGGACUACCCGCUGAACUUAAGCAUAUCAAUAAGCGGAGGA
rnacentral:rRNA from 1 species